CCUACGGGCGGCUGCAGUGAGGGAUUUUCGGCAAUGGGCGAAAGCCUGACCGAGCGACGCCGCGUGAGCGAAGAAGGCCUUCGGGUCGUAAAGCUCUGUCUAGGGGGAAGAGAAAGGACGGUACCUCUGGAGGAAGCCACGGCUAACUACGUGCCAGCAGCCGCGGUAAUACGUAGGUGGCGAGCGUUGUCCGGAAUUACUGGGCGUAAAGGGCGCGCAGGCGGCGCGUUAAGUCCGGGGUGAAAUCCAUCGGCUCAACCGGUGGGGGACCUUGGAUACUGGCGCACUGGAGUGCGGGAGAGGGAAGCGGAAUUCCACGUGUAACGGUGAAAUGUAUAGAUAUGUGGAGGAACACCGGUGGCGAAGGCGGCUUCCUGGACCGUAACUGACGCUGAGGCGCGAAAGCUGGGGGAGCGAACAGGAUUAGAUACCCCAGUAGUC
rnacentral:rRNA from 1 species